GCUUCCGUGGCGCAAUCGGCUAGCGCGUCUGACUGUUAAUCAGGAGGUUGGUGGUUCGAGCCCACCCGGGAGCG